ensembl:misc_RNA Y_RNA Y RNA
GGCUGGUCUGAUUGCAGUGGUGUUUACAGCUAAUUGAUCACAACCAGUUAUAGAUUCCUCUGGUCAUUUUCUACUCCCACUGUGUCACUUGGCAAGCCUAAA